AUUGAACGCUGGCGGCAUGCCUUACACAUGCAAGUCGAACGGUAACAGGUUAAGCUGACGAGUGGCGAACGGGUGAGUAAUAUAUCGGAACGUGCCCAGUCGUGGGGGAUAACGUAGCGAAAGCUACGCUAAUACCGCAUACGAUCUACGGAUGAAAGCGGGGGAUCGCAAGACCUCGCGCGAUUGGAGCGGCCGAUAUCAGAUUAGGUUGUUGGUGAGGUAAAAGCUCACCAAGCCUGCGAUCUGUAGCUGGUCUGAGAGGACGACCAGCCACACUGGAACUGAGACACGGUCCAGACUCCUACGGGAGGCAGCAGUGGGGAAUUUUGGACAAUGGACGCAAGUCUGAUCCAACAAUGCCGCGUGCAGGACGAAGGCCUUCGGGUUGUAAACUGCUUUUGUACGGAACGAAAAGGCUCUGGUUAAUACCUGGGGCUCAUGACGGUACCGUAAGAAUAAGCACCGGCUAACUACGUGCCAGCCGCCGCCGUAA
rnacentral:rRNA from 1 species